UUGCUGUCUGAACAAUGACAUCGAUGCCCCUUGCCACAGGAAAGAGUGAUGAUAUUUCCUAACAAACUAAUGAGUUCAGUGUUCUACAGUGUUCAGUCUGGAGCAAAGAAGUGUCUGCAGUCUUAACUCUGCCCCACAUCACUUAAGGCUGGGCUGAUGGCUCAGUGCAUAAAGCACUUGCUGCUCAAUCAUGAGGACCUGAGUUUGAACUUCAGAACCCAUAUAAAGUCAAGGAGAUUGCAUUAGCAAUUUCACUACAUCUACAGAGAGAUGGGAGGCAGAGACAAGAAAAUCCCGGGAAAGCUGGCCAGCCUGGCACACACAGAAGAACAAAAGAAACCUUCCUGUCUCAAAGAAGGUAGACAGUGAAGACGAACACCUGAGGUGGUCCUCUGUCAUACACACAUGUGACACCGUACACGUGAACCCACAUUAUCACACACCACGCAGGGACAAAAAUGUGCUUCUCUCACUCUACAAAAUGUUUACAAAAAUAUAUUCUGAAACCAAAAUCUUUAUGUAAAUAUGUACUCACAAAAAAUGGACCUCCUUAUGAUCAAAGUCGACACACUGGUGAUUCUAAGAAUUGCUGCAGUGAAAUUUUGUUGAAAGUGUUGAAGCUAUAUUACCUGAAAAGCAGAAGCUCCAGGUGCACCAGACACGAUGGCUACCUUCCUAGGUUUCAAAAAUAGUACGUUGGAAGAGGAAUGAAGCGUGAUUUCCAUGACAACUUUCAUAUGUGAGCUACAGCCUGUGAAGAGAAAAUUCUAGAGAUGUUUUUGCUCCACAUAAGAAUGACCUUUCAAAAAAAAAAAUUCUCUCCAAACUGGCAAUAUAGUCAAAUUAACACUUAGGAUGUGUUCAUCCAAAGCAUGAUGACGUCGAAAGUCAUUUUCAACUCUGAAAUGUUUAUUUAAUUCUGUGCUUAUAUUUAAUGCAGAUUAAGCAGAGAGAAAAGCCAAGUCAUCUCUCUCUCUCUCUCUCUCUCUCUCUCUCUCUCUCUUACACACACACACACACACACAGAGACAAACAGAAAAACAUACACAGAGACAGAGACAGA